CAGGAUGAACGCUGGCGGCGUGCUUAACACAUGCAAGUCGAACGAAGCACUUUACUUGAUCUCCUUCGGGAUUGAUUGUUCUGUGACUGAGUGGCGGACGGGUGAGUAACGCGUGGAUAACCUGCCUCACACAGGGGGAUAACAGUUGGAAACGGCUGCUAAUACCGCAUAAGCGCACAGCACCGCAUGGUGCAGUGUGAAAAACUCCGGUGGUGUGAGAUGGAUCCGCGUCUGAUUAGCUGGUUGGCGGGGUAACGGCCCACCAAGGCGACGAUCAGUAGCCGGCCUGAGAGGGCGACCGGCCACAUUGGGACUGAGACACGGCCCAGACUCCUACGGGAGGCAGCAGUGGGGAAUAUUGCACAAUGGGGGAAACCCUGAUGCAGCGACGCCGCGUGAGCGAUGAAGUAUUUCGGUAUGUAAAGCUCUAUCAGCAGGGAAGAUAAUGACGGUACCUGACUAAGAAGCUCCGGCUAAAUACGUGCCAGCAGCCGCGGUAAUACGUAUGGAGCAAGCGUUAUCCGGAUUUACUGGGUGUAAAGGGAGCGUAGGCGGUCCUGCAAGUCUGAUGUGAAAACCCGGGGCUCAACCCCGGGACUGCAUUGGAAACUGUAGGACUAGAGUGUCGGAGGGGUAAGUGGAAUUCCUAGUGUAGCGGUGAAAUGCGUAGAUAUAUGGAGGAACACCGGUGGCGAAAGCGGCUCUCUGGUCUGUAACUGACGCUGAGGCUCGAAAGCGUGGGGAGCGAACAGGAUUAGAUACCCUGGUAGUCCACGCCGUAAACGAUGAGUGCUAGGUGUUGGAUCCUUUCCGGGAUUCAGUGCCGCAGCUAACGCAUUAAGCACUCCGCCUGGGGGGUACGACCGCAAGGUUGAAACU
rnacentral:rRNA from 1 species